AGUGAACGCUGGCGGUAGGCCUAACACAUGCAAGUCGAACGGCAGCACAGGAGAGCUUGCUCUCUGGGUGGCGAGUGGCGGACGGGUGAGGAAUACAUCGGAAUCUACUCUGUCGUGGGGGAUAACGUAGGGAAACUUACGCUAAUACCGCAUACGACCUACGGGUGAAAGCAGGGGACCUUCGGGCCUUGCGCGAUUGAAUGAGCCGAUGUCGGAUUAGCUAGUUGGCGGGGUAAAGGCCCACCAAGGCGACGAUCCGGAGCUGGUCUGAGAGGAUGAUCAGCCACACUGGAACUGAGACACGGUCCAGACUCCUACGGGAGGCAGCAGUGGGGAAUAUUGGACAAUGGGCGCGAGCCUGAUCCAGCCAUACCGCGUGGGUGAAGAAGGCCUUCGGGUUGUAAAGCCCUUUUGUUGGGAAAGAAAUCCAGCUGGCUAAUACCCGGUUGGGAUGACGGUACCCAAAGAAUAAGCACCGGCUAACUUCGUGCCAGCAGCCGCCGUAA
rnacentral:rRNA from 1 species